UACGAAGGGUGCAAGCGUUAAUCGGAAUUACUGGGCGUAAAGCGUGCGUAGGCGGUUUGUUAAGUCUGUUGUGAAAUCCCCGGGCUCAACCUGGGAAUGGCAAUGGAUACUGGCAAGCUAGAGUGUGAUAGAGGAUGGUGGAAUUCCCGGUGUAGCGGUGAAAUGCGUAGAGAUCGGGAGGAACAUCAGUGGCGAAGGCGGCCAUCUGGAUCAACACUGACGCUGAG
rnacentral:rRNA from 1 species